rnacentral:rRNA from 1 species
AUGGAGGAGGUGUGGAACGACAUGUCGCUGUGCUCCACCCCGCUCGCGCUACAGUCGUACCACCUCCACUCCCCGGCCGCCGCUCCCUACCGCGGCGCCGCUGUCUACCCCCAGGACUACCUGGCCGGCGCGCCCCGCACGCCGCCGUCUCACACGGCGCUCACCCUGGAGUUCACCUGCCCCGGGGGGACCGGCGCUGCCAACACGGCCACCAGCUCCGGCGACGACCCAGCCGGCUGCCACUUUGGCUUCUCCGCGUCCGGAGGCGGCACCAGGAGGGCCGUGGUCCAGCCGGCGCCGGCGGUGGGCGGCGACCGGCGGCAGCGCCGGAUGGUCAAGAACCGGGAGUCGGCGGCGCGGUCGCGGGCGAGGAAGCAGGCCCACACCAAUGAGAUGGAGCUGGAGCUGGAGCAGCUGCGCCGGGAGAACAGGAUGCUUAUCCAGCGCGAGCAGGACUUCAUCAACGAUCGCUUGGCGAAAGCGGCGCAGGUAGCCGUCCCCGACUGCAGCAGCAGCAGGAGGAACACUAGUAGUACCCUCCAGCAGCAGCAGAGGUGCCGCUCCGCCCCUGCACCAUGA